GCCCCGCUUGGGUCUGCAGCCCGCCAGCUCCCCCGGGCUGCCAGUCGAGCCCCGGGUGGGGCUCACUGGCCGCUGCCCGGUCAUCUGCCAGAGCCCAGGGCCCCGCCUAGGCCCUCCACGAUCCGCCCCGCGGCGCGGGCCGCAGGCUUUCCUAAGUAAGAAAGGUUGCCACAUCUCGGGUUUGCCGCGGACUAACUGGUAAAACCGCAGGAUGAGCCACAUACGACUGCAUUCGGAGGCCGGAUCCGUCCCGUGACUCCGGAACAUACUGGGCGACCUCCGGCUGCCGCCUCCUGACAGCCCAUAGACGUCCAACCCCGCUGUCCGUAAGGGGAAACUUCGAGAUUGAAGGCCUGAGACUUUAUUCCCAACGGUCUGCCUAAAUCUCAGACAUAGACCGGUAGAGUUGAGGUGCUGGAGAACGGAGUAUCAUCCUCUAAACCUACGACCCACCGCCAUGCCCGAUUCCCAGUUCGGGCGUCAUCCCACCCGUCCCUUCCACUACCUUUUCCCACUCUGCCUCAGUUCUAGGAGCCCUCCCUCCACCAAUCUCACAAGGCUCAAUAAAUACCAAAAGAUCUGCAUUUACAGCA